GGGAGGGGGGGGGGGCGUAGGUGUGGCCUAUUCAUCUCUGCAGAUAUGACACUUUUAAUGAUUUAAUUUUGAAGGGGUAUGUAGAUUUGUGAUUAUAAUUUGCAAAUCAAUAACAUCCCAAACGCUGGGCCCAAACAAUCCCUAUUAGAGGAAGGGAUUGUCUGCAAUGUGUUUCUGCACUCUCAACUUUCUUCAUACUACUCUAAAUCAAACUAGACUACCCACACUAUAAAACAAAUAAAGAGUAAAUGAGAAUACAUACAAUGUGCUUUUUUUUAUUUCAAGUAUGAAUGUAUCUUGUAUAUUAAAUAUUAAUCUCUACAUAUUACAAUUUAUGAAUAACAUUCUUGAUGAAAACCAAAAGCUUAUGCGCGUCUACAAUCAGUGGUCACUCUAAAUAGACAAACAUAAAGAAAAAGAGAGAUGCUUGUCAUACAGGUCCAUGUUGGCACCUCCUCGAAAGGUAAUUUGUCAAAAGUAUGUGGCACAUUUUAAGCUAGAAUCCCACUACAAAUACACCAUGCAUCGUUUCUCAGAGGCUUCCCUGCAUUCUCUAUUAAAGGGGAAGUUUGGUAAUGUAUGAAAGGCCACUUGCGGGAUUCCUGCACCAAACACGUGGCUCUGACGUUACACAAAGUUCUUAAUAGUAAUACAAUCAAGCCUAAACAGAAUUGGAUUUUUUUCAUGGUUUUGUUGCCUAUAUACCAUUCUAGAACUCUAGAUGAGCAAUUUAUCAAAACUAAUCUUAUUUCGAUAAGCAAAUGAAGAAUAAUAAACGAUUAAUUGCAAAGAUAGAGAGCUACUGGGGGACUGUUUUCAUGCAAAUCGUCAGCAAUGAUGAUUUAUAGACUAUUGUUCACACAAUUGUGCUUCUUAGCCAAUCAAAACCAUGGAUAGUCAGCUCUUGACAACUUGUCAUAUGAAAAAAAAAAUACAGAUGAAAACCCACCAGGGCGUUCAUUGUUCACCACUUUUGCACAGAAAGAGGUCAUAUUAAUUGUGUGAAUAAAUGACCUGUAACCGAUAAUCCAACUUCAUCUAUCAGUACACAUCCUAGAA